rnacentral:rRNA from 1 species
CUCAUUAAAUCAGUUAUAGUUUAUUUGAUGGUCUCUUUUGUCUUUUUUUACCUACUUGGAUAACCGUGGUAAUUCUAGAGCUAAUACAUGCGCAAGGUCCCGAGCGCGGGGGGUGGGGCUUCACGGCUCCAUCCUCGCAUGCGCAGAGGGAUGUAUUUAUUAGGUUAAAACCAGCGUAGCCAGCAAUGGCUACUCAUCUUCUGGUGAUUCAUAGUAACUCUUUCGGAUCGCAUUCAUG